AGAUUGAACGCUGGCGGCAUGCCUUACACAUGCAAGUCGAACGGCAGCACGGGAGCAAUCCUGGUGGCGAGUGGCGAACGGGUGAGUAAUACAUCGGAACGUGCCCAAUCGUGGGGGAUAACGCAGCGAAAGCUGUGCUAAUACCGCAUAAGAUCUACGGAUGAAAGCAGGGGAUCGCAAGACCUUGCGCGAAUGGAGCGGCCGAUGGCAGAUUAGGUAGUUGGUGAGGUAAAGGCUCACCAAGCCUUCGAUCUGUAGCUGGUCUGAGAGGACGACCAGCCACACUGGGACUGAGACACGGCCCAGACUCCUACGGGAGGCAGCAGGUGGGGAAUUUUGGACAAUGGGCGAAAGCCUAGACUCCAGCCAUCGCCGCGUGCAGGAUGAAGGCCUUGGUUCGUAAAC
rnacentral:rRNA from 1 species